rnacentral:lncRNA from 1 species
UAUUGAAAAAAGGUAAAAAGCUAGCCUUUUUUUUUUUUUUUUUUUUGGAGACAGAGUCUCCCUCUGUCGUCCAGGCUGCAGUGCAGUGGCAUGAUCUUGGCUCACUGCAAUCUCUGCCUCCCGGGUUCAAGCAAUUCCCCUGCCUCGGCCUCCUGAGUAGCUGGCACUAUAGGCAUGCACCACCACGCCCGGCUAAUUUUUUGUGUUUUUUAGUAUACUCUGGAGAAUCGCUUGAACUCAGGAGGUGGAGGUUGCAGUGAGCCGAGAUCUCAUCAUUGUACUCCAGCCUGCCUGGGUGACAGAGGGAGACUCCAUCUCAAAAAAAAAAGAAACACAGCUUUUAAUUUAAAAAAGGUCAAGGCAAUAGUAAAAAAGACAAGUAGGAAUAUAAGUGGUACGUCAGAUGUAAUCUUUCCUUUUCUUUUUUUUUUUUUUUUUUUUUUUUUGAGACAGUCUCGCUCUGUCUCCCAGGCUAGAGUGCAGGGGCACAAUCUUGGC